CAGAAAGUAGUUUAAACAAAAUUUUAAAUUUGGAGGUUAAAGAUGUAGGUAACCUAUCUUUCUGA
rnacentral:tRNA from 1 species